AUGUUGACUCCAUUAGAUAAAUCAUAUCUAAGUGAAGUUAAGACAACUGUUAGGUCAGUGUGUGGCAAUAAGCUAGAGCUUCGUGGAAAAGGCAGGUUCAAUCUGCAUUUCGGUCCAAAUAUGUUGCAAUCUGAAGCUGUUGUGACUGAUCUGCAAGUUGACGGUAUAUACUUGGUUUGGACUUCAUGAAACGACAUAAUUGUUUAAUUGAUGUUAAGAAUGGGCACUUUUGUAUUGGGGAUUUUAAGGUAGAUUUGUGUUUUCAGGGAUCAAUAGGCUGUUACCGAGUGGUUGCUUCAGAAGCGGUUGUUAUACCGCCAAGGUCAGAAAUUGUCAUUAAUGGCACGGUUUGCUUAGCAGAAGGUCAGAAAUUACCUGCUGACAAUGCUUUGUUAGAAGCAAAUGAGCAUGCAGGGAAAGACUACAUUUUGACUGCUAGAACGUUGGUAAGGUCAGGCGAAAAAGUCCCUGUUAGAUUAAUGAACACAGAACUAGAUCCUAAGACAAUCUAUCCUGGUACAACUAUAGCCCAAAUGUCUGGUGUUGAACAAGUACUAGAUGGUAAUAUUAGUUCAAAUGAACAGAAACAUGACGGACUUAGACCAGAUUUACAAGAUCUGUUAGACAGGACAUCAGAUGAAUUGACUUCGAAAGACAAACAAAAAGUAAAAUCUUUGUUGAUAGAAAAUCAGAACUUGUUUGCUUCUUCUGAUGUUGACUUGGGAAGGACCAAUCUUGUAAAACACGAAAUCAAUACGGGAAACGCAAGGCCAUUUAAAGAACCACCUCGUCGUACACCUUAUCAUUUGAACAAGGUAGUAAAUGACAACCUUGACAAAAUGUUACAAAAAGGGAUUAUUGAACCAUCCCACAGUCCCUGGGCGGCAGGGAUAGUCUUAGUUAAGAAAAAGGACGACAGUUAUCGCUUUUUGCGUAGAUUAUAGACGCUUAAACAGUGUGACCCUUAAUAAAGACGCGUAUCCUUUACCGAGGAUUGACGAUUCGUUAGAUCAUUUAGCAGGAAAUAAAUGGUAUAGUACUCUGGACUGUUGUUCAGGAUAUUGGCAGGUGGAGCUGGCCGAAAAUGACAAACACAAAACCGCUUUUGCAACGCGAAGGGGUUUAUUUCAAUUUCGGGUCAUGCCGUUUGGGUUGUGUUGCGCUGCACAGACAUUUGAGCGAUUGAUGGAAACCAUACUAGCUGGUUUGCAGUGGGAAACAUGUCUGGUUUACAUUGACGAUAUAAUCGUUUUUGGAAAAACACUAGAUGGUAUGCUUGAUAAUUUAAGAGACGUUUUUGCUAGGCUUAAAUCGGCUGGUUUAAAGCUGAAGGCGAAGAAGUGCACCUUGUGUACCACCAAGGUUCGUUUCUUAGGACAUAUUGUCUCUGAGGAAGGAAUAUCAACCGACCCUGACAAGAUUAAGGCUGUUAAAGAGUGGCCCACCCCUACAAAUAUAACUGAAGUUCGUUCCUUUUUAGGUCUUUGUGGGUACUAUAGGAAAAUUUAUUAAAAACUUUGCCCACAUUGCUAAACCAUUACACAAAAUAACAGAGAAAGAAACUAAAUUUGUUUGGACUUCAGAAUGUCAAGAAUCUUUUGACCAAUUGAAAAGGUAAAUUAAUAAACGCACCAGUUCUUGCAUAUCCAGAUUUUAACAAAAGAAUUCAUUUUGGAUACUGAUGCAAGCAAUUUGGCAGUCGGAGCUGUCUUGACUCAGAAAUCUGAUGAAGGGCUUGAACAUGUUGUGGCUUAUGCUAGUCGUACACUUUCAAAAUCAGAACGAAAGGUACUGUGUGACACGCAAGGAGUUGCUUGCUGUGGUUUGUUUUGUUAAACAUUUCAAACCAUACCUUUACGGUAGAAAAUUCACAGUAAGAACUGAUCACGGAUCAUUAAAGUGGUUACUUAACUUUAAGAACCCAGAAGGACAGAUAGCUAGAUGGAUAGAGACAUUAGGAUUCAUUUGAGAUGCAAAUUCAACAUCGACCAGGAGUGCAACAUAGGAAUGCAGACGCACUUAGUCGCAUUCCUUGUAAACAAUGUGGUUAUCAUUCCGGUUUAGAAAAAGAGACUGAGACUAAAGACCAAUAUGACACUGUUAAUGCUAUCACCCGUUUUGAUAGUAGUAAUGACAGAGAUGAUGACAGUGAACAUCAUGAUUUGUCUCUUAAAGGAAAUUCAGAAAAAUGAUCAUGACUUGAAAAUAGUGACAAAAUGGGUAGAAAAAGAUGAACGUCCUGAUUACAAAGAUAUUUCUGAUAAGGGAUUUUUCUUGAGAUCACUUUGGAAUCAAUGGAACAACUUAGAGUUAAGAGACGGACUUAUUUACAGACGAUUUGAAGACCCUGCAACCAAAAUUGUAAAAAUGCAGGCUAUCAUUCCUUUAUCAGAACGCAAAAAGGUUUUACAAUUUUCCCAUGAUGAUAAAUGUUCUGCUCAUUUGGGUAUCCAUAAAACUUUGGCAAAAAUUAGACAAUCUUAUUAUUGGCCUGGGUUACAAAAAUGACGUCAGGACUUACAUAAACGGAUGUGACAAAUGUGCAAAGCGAAAAAGUCCACAAAAGUCCAAAAGAGCUCCAAUGGCUUUAGUUGAAGCUAAUGGGCCAAUGGAAAGGAUAGCUACAGAUAUCCUUGGUGAGUUGCCAGAAACAGAGAGUGGUAACAAAUAUAUCUUGGUAGUUUCUGACUACUACACAAAGUGGACGGAAUCUUUUGCCAUGCCAAAUAUGGAAGCUAAGACUGUGGCUAAGAUUAUAGUUGAAGAAGUCAUUGUAAGAUUUGGUGUUCCUCAUUGGAUACACUUCAGAUCAAGGCAGGCAAUUUGA
rnacentral:sRNA from 1 species